CUCCUCUUUAUUUUGAGACAAAGUCUUGCUAAGUUGUGCAGAGUGGCCUAGAACUUUUUUUUGAUCCUCCUGUUUCAGCAUCCCAAAUCUGUGGCUGUCUCAUUCUGAUGUGUCUUCUUUCCUCAGAAAUCUCCAAGGCCUAGCUGAGCGUGGUGGCGCACUCCUGUGAUCCUAGCACUUGGGAGGCUGAGGCAGGAGGAUCACUAUCUUGGCUUCCCGGCUAUGGAGGGGCAGAGGAUGAGAACGGCAUGUUUCCAUCCAUCCCUCAGUCCCGCCACCUGAGAGUCCACGAAGAGGCAGAACCUAUGGAAACAUCACAGUGCAAGGAGAGAGGAAGUAAGAAAACCAGCUAACCAACAACAAAACUAAACUGUGAAUAUAUAAAUAAGAGAAAGGCAUGCCACUUCUGGGAAUAUAUUCAAAAGCAUUGGAAGGUGGGACUCAAAGAGGUAUUUGUAGACUCAUGUUCAUCCAAGUAUUAUUCAUUGUAGCCCCCCAAAAUGGAAACAAUCCAAGUGUUUAUCCGGAAAAUGGAUAAACAAAGUGCGGUAUAUCUGUGCAAUAGUAUAUUAUUUAGCCUUUUAAAAGAAGGCAAUUUGGACACACACUACAAUAUGGAUGAACCUUGAGGACAUUCUGUAAGCGAAAUAAGCCAGUCUCGAAAUGAUCGAUAACAUAUGCUUCCGCUGACAAGAGGUAUCUGAGCAGUCCGGUACACAGGGACACACAAUAGAUCGGGGCUGCUAGGGACUGGA